rnacentral:rRNA from 1 species
AUGAAGCUGUUGGUGUGUGCCACAAUCAUCCAAUGGAAGCUACUCUGUGUGAUGUCAUCAUCUUACUUUUUCUCUGUCACCUACUUUUCAACACAUGUAUCUCCACUACAUUUAAACAUUAUCAGCAACCAUUUAAAUCAACGGUAUCAACAAGCAUACACAUUGAAAGUUAUCAGAAAACUUGAUUUCCAGACAAAAAUCAGCAAUCUUGAUAUCCAAACAAUAUCAACAAGUUUGCCUUCCUGUGAUUAUGCUAGUCUAAUAAUAUACCAACUACUAGUACAUCUAGCAAAAGAAUUCAGCAUCUGCACCUAG